GAUGAACGCUAGCGGCAGGCUUAACACAUGCAAGUCGAGGGGUAGAAGGAGCUUGCUCCUUUGAGACCGGCGCACGGGUGCGUAACGCGUAUGCAAUCUACCUUUUGCAGAGGGAUAGCCCAGAGAAAUUUGGAUUAAUACCUCAUAGUAUGUGAGGAUGGCAUCAUUUUCACAUUAAAGUCACAACGGCAAAAGAUGAGCAUGCGUCCCAUUAGCUAGUUGGUAAGGUAACGGCUUACCAAGGCUACGAUGGGUAGGGGUCCUGAGAGGGAGAUCCCCCACACUGGUACUGAGACACGGACCAGACUCCUACGGGAGGCAGCAGUGAGGAAUAUUGGACAAUGGGCGCAAGCCUGAUCCAGCCAUGCCGCGUGCAGGAUGACGGUCCUAUGGAUUGUAAACUGCUUUUGUACAGGAAGAAACACUACUUCGUGAAGUAGCUUGACGGUACUGUAAG
rnacentral:rRNA from 1 species